ACCACAUCCAGCCCUGGAGGCUGAUUCGAUGGAGCCGCAGGAGGGCUCCUUUGGGGACACGUUCAGAAAAGCCCCAAAGGGGCUCUGGAGGAGAGCACGUGGAUCCACACACUUUCCGGCACUGGCAAAGGAAGUAGAUGGCUAAGUUAUGUUUCUUUUGGUGAAGAGUGGAUGGUUUCAAAUAAAUCACUGCUUCGUCCCGCACCCUAAGACAACGCUCCAGAAAUGGGAGGUGUGGGCCUGCUUUGCAAGAGUUCCCCUGCUAAAAUAUUAGAGUUUGGACCGGAUGAUGUUAGAUGUUGUACCUAGUCCUGCUACGGAAGAGAACGCUUAUUGCAGAUCUGGCAGCUGACUCAAUGCAAAUGUUACCACCAACAGGAACCACAAAGAAACCUAGGUCUGUCCGGAGAUGUCAGGUCCUGGGAAUUACAGGAUUUGUCUGCCUCACCAAUAACAUAGUCGGUGUGAAAACAUUUUGUACAUGUACAUCAGACACGGCAAUGUUGUCAACGACUGGUAUUCUCUGUCCCCCC
rnacentral:lncRNA from 1 species